rnacentral:rRNA from 1 species
UACGUAGGGUGCGAGCGUUGUCCGGAAUCAUUGGGCGCAAAGCGCGCGUAGGCGGCCCUGUAAGUCCGUUGUGAAAGUCAAAGGCUCAACCUUUGAAAGCCGAUGGAUACUGCAGGGCUAGAGUCCGGAAGAGGCGAGUGGAAUUCCUGGUGUAGCGGUGGAAUGCGCAGAUAUCAGGAGGAACACCAAUAGCGAAGGCAGCUCGCUGGGACGGUACUGACGCUAAGGCGCGAAAGCGUGGGGAGCGAACAGG